rnacentral:rRNA from 1 species
CUGCUGCCUUCCGUAGGAGUCUGGGCCGUGUCUCAGUCCCAAUGUGGCCGUCCACCCUCUCAGGCCGGCUACUGAUCGUCGGCUUGGUGGGCCGUUACCCCACCAACUACCUAAUCAGACGCGGGUCCAUCUUACACCACCUCAGUUUUUACCACUGUACCAUGCAGUACUGUGGUCUUAUGCGGUAUUAGCAGUCAUUUCUAACUGUUAUCCCCCUGUGUAAGGCAGGUUACCCACGCGUUACUCACCCGUCCGCCG